UUUACAUUCUAUUCAAGAAUAAAACAACAAUUUCUUUUUUUUGGAGAGACAUCGAAAUGAAUUCCUUCGCUACCGAUCCGCUUUCAUUGGAUUACGAAGUGGCGGAUCUGACGUGGGAAAACGGCCCGCUGGCCGCGUCGCGGGCUUUCAACAAGCUCGCGAAUUGCGUGGGAAAAGUCUCACCUGCGCCCGGCCGACACGCUGGAGUCCAUAGUUGGUCAGGGCACGUGCGGCCUCUCACGCGCGGCGGGCAAGCUCGUCCCGUGGCUCGACCACAGAGGCGGAGGUAAAAACACGUCCGCCUUUGCGGCCAGCAUGGACGCGCUCGUGCCGUGCCACAAAGGGGGGAGCGACGGCCCCGAGAACUCCGCGGAGGUGCCGGGGUUCGGCGCGUGCACCGUGGGGUCGUGCAGCGGUGCCGGUGUGGGCCGGGGCUCGUGCACGUGUUACACGAGCGACACGUGCGGCGGCGGCGGCGGGAGUGACAGCGCACCGCUGACGAUGGAUUCAUGCGAGAGAGACUUUGGCCUCACGUCCACCUCUCUCUGGUCGCCGGAAAAUACCAGCUCCGGCGAAGAUUACACCAGGACUUCCGGCGAGGAAAACGACACCAUUUAUUGCAGUAGAUCACAGGGUCAGGCAGGGAAAAAAGAAAACAGAAAAUUUGGGAAUUAGAAAAUCCUCAAUUUCAGCUAAAGUCAGGGCAGCUGCUAGGAGGAGUAUAUAAAAAGGAUUUGCAUUCAACUAACUUUUUAAUCCACUUUCUGUUACUACAUUUUAUAGAACCUGAACGAAUCAAAAUGGACACACAUUGAAGAACGAUUGGAGUAUAAAAUUAAUACUCCUUUUUGUAAUUUCAUUUGUUGACUUUUGUUAUUUUCAUAUGAUU